AUGAAGAACGUANCGAAAUGCGAUACUUGGUGUGAAUUGCAGAAUCCCGUGAACCAUCGAGUCUUUGAACGCAAGUUGCGCCUGANGCCAUUAGGCUGAGGGCACGCCUGCAUGNNCGUCACGC
rnacentral:rRNA from 1 species